rnacentral:rRNA from 1 species
AGAAUCAACGCUGGCGGCGUGCCUAACACAUGCAAGUCGAACGAGAAAGUGGGAGCAAUCCCACGAGUAAAGUGGCGCACGGGUGAGUAACACGUGACUAACCUACCCUUGAGUGGGGGAUAACCUAGGGAAACCUGGGCUAAUACCGCAUAAUACCUACGGGUCAAAGGAGCAAUUCGCUUAAGGAGGGGGUCGCGGCCGAUUAGUUAGUUGGCGGGGUAAUGGCCCACCAAGACUGUGAUCGGUAUCCGGCCUGAGAGGGCGCACGGACACACUGGAACUGAAACACGGUCCAGACUCCUACGGGAGGCAGCAGUGGGGAAUUUUGCGCAAUGGGGGAAACCCUGACGCAGCAACGCCGCGUGGAGGAUGAAGUCCCUUGGGACGUAAACUCCUUUCGAUCGGGACGAUUAUGACGGUACCGGAAGAAGAAGCCCCGGCUAACUUCGCGCCAGCAGCCGC